rnacentral:rRNA from 1 species
CCUACGGGAGGCAGCAGUAGGGAAUCUUCCACAAUGGACGAAAGUCUGAUGGAGCAACGCCGCGUGAGUGAAGAAGGGUUUCGGCUCGUAAAGCUCUGUGGGUAGUGAAGAAAGAUAGAGGUAGUAACUGGCCGUUAUUUGACGGUAAUUACUUAGAAAGUCACGGCUAACUACGUGCCAGCAGCCGCGGUAAUACGUAGGUGGCAAGCGUUGUCCGGACUUAUUGGGCGUAAAGCGAGUGCAGGCGGUUCAAUAUGUCUGAUGUCAAAGCCUUCGGCUCAACCCGAGAAUUGCAUCAGAAACUGUUGAACUUUAGUGCAGAAGAGGAGAGUGGAACUCCAUGUGUAGCGGUGGAAUGCGUAGAGAUAUGGAAGAACACCAGUGGCGAAGGCGACUCUCUGGUCUGCAACUGACGCUGAGGCUCGAAAGCAUGGGUAGCGAACAGGAUUAGAUACCCCUGUAGUC